GCAACCAAGGCACAUGCCCUUGACCAGAAUCGAACCUGGGACCCUUCAGUCCGCAGGCCGACGCUCUAUCCACUGAGCCAAACUGAUUAGGGCUGCUGUGGUUUUUUGAUUUCAUAUAUUGUUUGAGGUGUAUUCCUUAAAAUAAUCAUAUCUGGGAAAAUGUUCUAACCAAAGGGAGAAAGGAAACAAUGUAUGUUUUUGUGCCUACUAGUUAAAUACUUUAUAUUUCGUUUGGACUUCCCCAAACCCUAAGAACUGUCUUCAUUUAUUGAAGAACAGGCCUAGAGAGGAUGAUUUACCCAAUCUUACAUUAUCUGGUAAGUGUUUGAGUUUUAAGUCCUAAAAUGAUUGGCAGUAAUAGCAUUCCACUACAGUUGAUCCGUUCUUAUUUGGGCACUAGGCGGGGGCUUCUUUUCUCUAACAGACAAAAAACAAUAGGCAUGCAAAAAAUUCUCACACGCAAACUACAAUGAUAACGGGACAUCCCUGCUUUAUUACAAUAUCUUGGUAUAACUCACAUUUUUGGGGGAUGAAAAAGUUGAAUAAUUCUAUAUGUUCUUAGGAGAAAAAAGCAUUACCAGGUGUCAAAUGGCCAAGAAAGUCCCUGGACUGCUGAAGCAGGAUUGCCCAGUGGUCUCUUAACACAUUCCAUCACUCAGUUCUUCCCAUUGUUUGUGAAUAGAUGGGUACAAUACUCUUUUUCAGUAUAACACACCUUUGAAUUUGGUCAUCACCCAAAGGAAAGAGAGGCUGGUGUCUGACAGUUCAGUGGCAAUAUUGGGCCAAUAAGUAAUGACCUACUUUUGCCCCAGGAGCAUGGAAACCACCAGUCACAAGUCUGUAAGGUCAAGAUGACUGACAGUCUAAGGUAAAUUCCAGUUCAUCACAGCGCAUCAGGUCCUUGAAUAAUAUACCUGGCUCUUUAAAGUGUAAGGUACAGUGUUGAGCAUGGAAUCUGUGGAGACCUUAAUUAUCCUACUAAUGACAUUUGCCUAGUAUUCAGGUGGCCGUGAACAAACUCCAGCAACCUGUGAACUCACUGACGGGAGUUUUGUCCUACUCGAACUCAGACCUGCUUCAGCAUGACUUCCCCGAGAGCAUCUCCACAUUCUCACUCACCACAAUUGCAUUUGGCUCCUCAUCCAUCCCUCCUGCCACACUGAAUCCCAGACCCGAGCCUUCUUUUUUGGUCAAGACUAUAAAGCAGACAUCUUCUUUAUUCUAUUGAGAAGAAACAGAAGGAAAAAGUAUAUUCCCUGUGCCAAGAGUAACAGCAUACUGAAAGCUGAUCGAUCGUCAGGCCGGAUUUUGCUUCUGAGAAGCUCAGUACAGCAUCAGGAAAGCUAGAAUCACCAUCAGGGGCUCCCCAAGGUUUAGCUCUCCAGAAACCAGAAGACCAGGGCUUGUUUUUUGACUCUAGUCUCUCACAGCGCCCUCAGAAGCCAAAGAAACUGUUCUGAACAGUUCCAUUUUCAGCACCUACACACCAUACUCAUUGAGAAAAAGCAAGGCAGGAAACUUCUGGUCUAAAGAUGGCAGAGUGAGGACAUCUGUACUCGCCCAGAACCAACUGAAGACAGCUGCAUGUUGACGAAAACAAGCAUGGUCUUCAACACCACACACAACGCCUGCCUGGUGGUGAAUAGGAACUGAGGUGAGGGAGGCCCCAGAUGACUCCAGGUGGCGCUUGGCACCUGUGCACACACACAGUCUACUCUGGGGGCCCUCCCUUUUGUGAGGUUGGUUGAGACCAUUUUAUCUAACAUGAGUACAGGUGGCCCCUGGCACAGCGUGAUCAGACCUUGACUGGAAAUCGCCAAGUGAGUCCACGUGCAAAAUGCUUACUGCAACAAGUGGAAGGAGGAAGGAGACAAUAGAUUAGUCCCUUUUACUAAAAGUGAAAAAUGCUAGAUGCCUCACGGUAUUUCCUGGCUGCACAGACCCAGACCAGUGGACGGAGAACCAGGAGAGGCCGCUAAUGGCCACUGGUCUCAUCCCACCCACCUCCUCUCCCUCUGGCUCACUCCUCAUUGGAGGCCAGCGUCACAGCCCUUCUAGUGUUAGAAUUCUGGAUGAUACCAGUGACCCAGGUACUCAAGGAAAAUUGUUUAUACUUGCUUUUUUCUCUAAGUAGAAAAUUUUCAUUUCUUAGGGUUCGAAUCUCUGUGGAUAGUCCCGAGGAGUAUUCUAGAUAGGAACCUCUGGUUUCAAUUGUUACUGUUACCGUCACAUCCAAUUUUUUAUGACUAUUUAGCUUCUUUGUCUGGAACCCCAGGCUUCAGAAACUCUUACACUUGGAGCCAGGGCAAGGCCACACAGGCAUUAACUCAUCUGCCCAGCAGGUGGCGCCCUUGACAGGUAGUUUAUGUCCACCUAGGUGGACAAAGGUGCUUGUGCUCAUUCUCCACCACAAGUACCUUUGAGGACUCUCUGCAGACAAACUCCAAAUGCAGGGUGGGGUGGGGAGAUCAGUAACUAGUCCCCACUGGGGAAUUAAAUGAGCAACUGCACCAAUCUGGCACUUAAAAACGCAAGGCAAGGUUUAGCUUCUAAGGCAGUCUGCAAGCAAGUGAGAUUGGGCUGUGAGCUCACAACAGGAGACCUGGAGGAGGGCUCACAGACCUCUGAGUGCGUGGCCGUACCUGGGUACUGACGUGGCAGCAGUUCUGUGUCCCUGUGUUCCCUGCAUUUCACUCACCUCUGAUUGUGCUUUCGCUUCCUGCAUGAGAGUCAGGAUGGUAGAUUUCGACCUCGCCAAUGACAAGACAGACUGUAAUCUUUGCUGGUCCCCCGCUGAGACUAGAAGUUGAUCCAAACUAAAUAAUACACAUACAUUAGGAGAACAUUAAAGAAAAAACAAUUUCUCUAUUUUGUAACGACGCAUUUAAAACGAUCUCCUUGAGAUUGUAUUGUAGAUAUUUUCAGUGGAAAUAACUAUGGAUUCAGGGAUUCCCCAAGGUGUUAGGGGACCAAUGUGGUAAACAAAAGUUGUUAUAUUAAAAAAUAUACAAUGUAUAGGCUCAAAUGAAA